rnacentral:rRNA from 1 species
GCCAGCUGCCAUAUCACCCUGCAACUCACAGCUGGCAGCCCACUGAAGCUCAGCAGGUGUGAGCCUGGUCAGUACCUGGAUGGGAGACCUGCUGGGGAAAACUACGGCUGCUGCUGGAA